rnacentral:rRNA from 1 species
AGAUUGAACGCUGGCGGCAGGCCUAACACAUGCAAGUCGAGCGGCAGCACGGGUACUUGUACCUGGUGGCGAGCGGCGGACGGGUGAGUAAUGCCUAGGAAUCUGCCUGGUAGUGGGGGAUAACGCUCGGAAACGGACGCUAAUACCGCAUACGUCCUACGGGAGAAAGCAGGGGACCUUCGGGCCUUGCGCUAUCAGAUGAGCCUAGGUCGGAUUAGCUAGUUGGUGGGGUAAUGGCUCACCAAGGCGACGAUCCGUAACUGGUCUGAGAGGAUGAUCAGUCACACUGGAACUGAGACACGGUCCAGACUC